AGUAAUCCAAAGUAUAAAUAAAAAGCCAAAUAAAAGCUAAAUACUAGGAUUCAGGCUGAUAGAUUUUUCUGAAAGGGAGGGGGAAUCAAAAGGUGAAGGAAGGGAAAAGGGAUGAAAAAAGGGAGUAAGAUGUGUCAAGUACAUGCACCAACUUCACAUAAGGAAUAUAAAUAUGUACUACUACAAAUAUGUACAAAAAGGGGAUUAAGAGAUGGGAAAAGGCGAUAAAAAAGCAAUUAAGAUGAAGAUGUAUUUUUGUGCAUGUACCAACUCCCCACAAAGAAUGGAAACAGGUGCUAUACACAUAUACUAGUAAAAGCUGUCUAGUUUCAUUAUUUCAUUUUUUUUCUACAAGACAGUAAUGGGCUUAAUGUCACAGUUCUGAGAUCUAAGUCUAAUAUGCUGUCCACCAUAAAAGGUAACAGAGAAAACCAUUAUCCCAAAUGUUUUCUCCUAGCUAAGAAGUAUUGUUUUUAAUUUAAUUUAAAAAGUUUUGUUAGUACAUGUUUGCAAUACAGAAUGAUUACAUUCAUUGUGGGGAGAUGGUAUAUAUUCAAAACACAUUUUCAUUCUUUUUCCUUCCCCUGCCCUUGUCCUCUCCUCAGCUCUGACAAAUGCCUUUCUGAGUACAGAGGAAAGAGAUGAUCCGCAAAAUGAUUUGGGGAGAGACAUGGGGGUUUUAUGAAAAACCUUUCCCAUCUCUCCAGGGCACAAAUUACUGAUUGAUACUCCUUAUGAAUGACUGGCCUAAGCUCAAGGCACUGAAUGGAAAAGAUGCUGCUAAUAGUUUCCUACUGCAUUUCAAUCCUCAAAACCUUCCAACUGACUGUUUACAAAGAGCACCAUCUCAAAGGCAAAAUGCAAUGCAAGUGUUUUAUGUGUAUGAAGAUGGCUGCACCAGUAACAGUUAUCUUGAAAUAUGGUGGCAGCCUACAAUCAUGGACAUCAGUUCAGCUGAAUGUAAACACCCAUUUGUUUCUCAGAAUAAGAUAAAUAGCAACAUUUUAAAUAACUUGAUGCAGAUUUGGCUUAAUUCAUCAGGUUUGUUUUAAAACUGGAACUGAUUCAUUUCUUAACAUUUCAGAUGACAAACAUUAUCAAAUUAUAUUAGCAAACAGAAAAGCAAUCCAUUGCCACUGUUUUUGAUUAUCUGAGUGUUUCCUUAAAAAGGGAAAAGAGAAAACCCAUAAAACCACAGAAGCAGUCAAAG
rnacentral:lncRNA from 1 species